UAAGAACUAGGAAGACAUAGAAAAUAAUGGUAAGUUGCGUAGUUGAAUUCAUGAGUCUGCCAGUCAUCUUAUACGAGAGUCUUGAGUAGCCGUUGCAUAUUGACCCUUGAUUGAGGCACAAAAUAUUCUAAGAGUUUUUACCCAAGGGGUGCCUCCGAAUCCUGCUCAAGAGAUGGGCUGGGGUCACGACCCAAAAUCCGACUAGUCGUGAUCGCACCUAACCCAACCCGCUAGGUAAGCCAGUUAACCACUAACCAAUUCCAAUAACAAUUUAUGAAGCAAUUAAGUAAUGAAAAGUCUUAGUCUUAUACACUCUCCAAGAACUGGUAGUACAAAUCGUGAGCUUCUAAGAAUAGAAUUUACAAAGCUGAUAUGAAGUAAAUACAUAAAAAGUACAUAAACAAAGUUUUUAUAAAUCUAAGACUAUCAUGAACAAGAGGCAGCUACAAUAGGAACGCAGGUACAUUAUCAAAUCUGGCAACCAUCGAGCACAACAAAACCAACAUCCAACAUCUGCACGCAAUGUCCAGAAGUGUAGUAUCAGUACAACCGACCUCAUGUACUGAGUAAGUAACAAACCUAAUAUUAGGUUGAAAGCAGUGACGAGCUAGAACAUAGGUCGGGUCCAACACCAAUAACCAAUAGCAGUUCAUAACAAUGUAGGGCAUAUAAAUAAGAAAGCAAUUCGAAAUAAAAUGCUCAACUUUAUCACAAUUUCCCGAAAAUAGUUUCGCUUUUCAAGAAUAAUAGUGAAAACCCAAAUCCUUUACCAAAAUCGUCGAAAAGUAUGAGAUAGUUUGAAAACUGUAAUUUUUUCCAAAAAUCCUUUCCAAAAAUAAGUAAGAUGCUUCAUUUCCUUUCAAGAUAGCAAGUGUGAAAUACCUCUCUAUGCUCACAUAUCAAUGUGUGUAAAAGUCAUAAAUGACGUGAUACUGCACAGAAUGAGAAAAAAAGCAUCUCUAUGCAUGUAUGUCAUGUGUGCAUGCCAAUGACAUGUAUCUCAGAGAUGAAUCAUGUACUCACACUCUCAGAGUACUCAAUCUCACUGUCUCACACUUUUCACUCAUCAUGCUCAACCACUCGGUACUGUAUAUGGCCCAUACGGCCUAGGGAAGAUCCAUCCCGGAAUACAUACAUCACAGAACAUUAGUCACUCAGUACCAAGGAAGGCCAAUCCGGCCCAUGGAGAAGAUCCAUCUCCAGGUAUAUAAUGCUUCGGACAAGAUCCAUGUCCAGGGAAGAUUCAUCCCUCAAUAUAAUCAACCGCGCUCACUAGGGGUGUGUGCAGACUCCGGAGGGGCUCCUACAGCCCAAGCUCUAUCAUAAGCCAGAUCCAGGCAUAAAUCAAUAUAGCAUGCUGCGGCGUGCAGCACGAUCCCAUAACUGUUACUCAUAAUCAGGCUCUCGGCCUCACUCAGUAAUAAAUCUCUCUAGUGUCACUCACGGGCUUACAACGUCAUGAAACUAGCAUGACAACAAUGAUAUGAUGUAUCAAUAAAUAACAACUGAGACUGCGAUAUGAUAGGAAUACAUGAAUAUGACAGAGUACGAAAUAUCAAUGAAAUCAGUGAGAUGAUAGCAAGAAACGACCACUAUUAUUGUACUCUUUUUUAUCUAUAGAGGCUCCGUAGACAUAGUGGGUUGUAUUUUGGUACUGGAAAAGACAAACUAUGCUAUGUUGUGGUUGUAUUACUUGUCCAUUUGAGACUUUAAAAAUGGUGAAACUUAUGGUAAAAAAUUGGUAACUGCAGACACGACCACUUUAUUGUUUAAUUAAGGAAAAAUAUAUUCUUUUUUUUCAUGAAUGAGUUUGGGUAGAAGAAAUCUAACAGGCUUGCUCGGUCGGGUUCACUCGGUUGAGUGCCGGUCGCGCUCCACGAUUUUGGGGCGUGACACUUACGUCCUUCCUUUUCGUAUUCAUAAUCAGGGGAGUGAUUUAUGGCUUGACUUGAUCGAUCAAUAUUCAGAAUCUCCUGAUUCCAAAUCAAUCCUUGAAGUAGAGACUAUCAUUGCGCUUGAUCUUGUUUCCUUUUUUAUGGCUUUGACAUCAUUUGAUUUAGCAUUGUCCUUGCUGCAUUUGAUUUUGUUUCCUUUCUGAUAUCUUUAACAUAUUGACUUCCUUUGAUUUAGUACUGCCCAUCUAAUUUCCNNNN
rnacentral:lncRNA from 1 species